AGACACUUGGCACAAAACACUACUUUUACUAUGAGGAGCAUCUUAUUCCAGGGUUCUUGUGUGUAACUACAUUAGCGCUAGCUAGGUCUACCCAAUAAAUGACUGGACACCAUGACGCUAAGGCUCCUUUAGCAUCUUUUCAGCUGUGUUGGCUAUGCUGCCCACUGGGAGAGCCAUGAAUUAUGGGUAAAAAGGAGGUGAAUUAAGAGGAGGAGGAGCAUGCACUGGCACUGCAAACAGGCUUUGGACUGGUGUUACUUACUCCAUCCUGAAGAGCACGACAAAACAACAGCAAAGAAGAGAGCAAGGACUUAACAGUGAGUGGGUCGAAUGAGCAGGGACGUGAAAAAGACAUGAGUA